rnacentral:rRNA from 1 species
UACGUAGGGGGCAAGCGUUGUCCGGAUUUAUUGGGCGUAAAGCGCGUGUAGGUGGCCAAGUAGGUCCGCUGUGAAAACUUGAGGCUCAACCUGAAGCUGUCGGUGGAAACCCCUUGGCUAGAGUCCGGAAGAGGAGAGUGGAAUUCCUGGUGUAGCGGUGAAAUGCGCAGAUAUCAGGAAGAACACCAAUGGCGAAGGCAGCUCUCUGGGACGGUACUGACACUGAGACGCGAAAGCGUGGGGAGCGAACAGG